UACGGGGGGGGCAAGCGCUGUUCGGAAUUACUGGGCGUAAAGGGUUCGUAGGUGGCCAACUAAGUCAGACGUGAAAUCCCUCAGCUUAACUGGGGAACUGCGUCUGAUACUGGUUGGCUUGAGUGCAGGAGAGGAACGCGGAAUUCCAGGUGUAGCGGUGAAAUGCGUAGAUAUCUGGAGGAACACCGGUGGCGAAGGCGGCGUUCUGGACUGCAACUGACACUGAGGAACGAAAGCCAGGGGAGCAAACGGG
rnacentral:rRNA from 1 species